GGAGUCUGGUCCGUGUCUCAGUACCAGUGUGGGGGACCUUCCUCUCAGAACCCCUACGCAUCGUAGCCUUGGUGGGCCGUUGCCCCGCCAACUAGCUAAUGCGCCGCAUGCCCAUCCCCUACCGAUAACUCUUUCCCCGCCACGUCAUGCGGCGCGGCGGACUACGGGGUAUUAGGCCAAAUUUCUCUGGGUUAUUCCCCUGUAGGGGGCAGGUUGCAUACGUGUUACUCACCCGUGCGCCGGUCGCCAGCAACAAUAGCAAGCUAUCGUCCUGCUGCCCCUCGACUUGCAUGUGUUAAGCCUGUAGCUAGCGUUCAUC
rnacentral:rRNA from 1 species